rnacentral:rRNA from 1 species
UACAGAGGGUGCAAGCGUUGUUCGGAUUUACUGGGCGUAAAGGGCGCGUAGGCGGCGCGACAAGUCACUUGUGAAAUCUCUGGGCUCAACCCAGAACGGUCAAGUGAUACUGUCGUGCUAGAGUGCGGAAGGGGCAACUGGAAUUCUUGGUGUAGCGGUGAAAUGCGUAGAUAUCAAGAGGAACACCUGCGGCGAAGGCGGGUUGCUGGGCCGACACUGACGCUGAGGCGCGAAAGCUAGGGGAGCGAACGGG